GUGAUUCUGUGAACAGACUUUUGCAGAGUGUGAAGGUACCCCCAAGGGUCUGUGAUUCUGUGAACAGACUUUUGCAGAGUUGAAGAUACCCCCAAGAGCUUGGGUGCCUUCAAACACCUCAGGGAGCUGCAGCAUCUGAAGACCUUCUUCACCAUAAGAAGUCCAUGUGGUCCUUCAUCUCCGCAGCGCGGGGCACCGAGGCUCAUUGUCCCCAUAAUUGUGAAGACAAGAAAGUGCCUGAUGGUUUCAGAGGGUCUCUGCUCUGCAGUCAGCACCGCUGGAGAGGUGGAGGUUCUUGCAGAAGAACCGCUGUCCGGUGGGCACUCGAGUGCUGAAGAGAAGCAGACACCACCAUCACCCUUCAGAAAUGCCUCGCCUGGGUCCUUUCCUGCCCUUCCCAGUGGGAAGGCACCCGGAGGCUGGACCCACCAGUCAGGAGACUGGGAAAGGCAGCAUCCCCUUGACUUCGUGUGUGGCUGGAGGUUUUCCCACCUCAGCACCGGUCAUAGGUUUGAGCCAGGACUUCAGGAACUCAUCGAGGCUGCCUUCAUCCCAGGAGCUCAAGGUGCUCAGCAAAUGGCUGAACUUCAUUUGACCUACAAAACACGGACAUUUGUUUGA
rnacentral:lncRNA from 1 species